rnacentral:rRNA from 1 species
GAUCAGGCUCAGGACGAACGCUGGCGGCGUGCCUAAUACAUGCAAGUAGAACGCUGAAGGAGGAGCUUGCUUCUCCGGAUGAGUUGCGAACGGGUGAGUAACGCGUAGGUAACCUGCCUGGUAGCGGGGGAUAACUAUUGGAAACGAUAGCUAAUACCGCAUAAGAGUAGAUGUUGCAUGACAUUUGCUUAAAAGGUGCAAUUGCACCACUACCAGAUGGACCUGCGUUGUA